GUGGAUUAGAUACCCCGGUAGUCCACGCAGUAAACGAUGAUUACUAGUUGUUUGCGAUACAAUGUAAGCGACUGAGCGAAAGCGUUAAGUAAUCCACCUGGGGAGUACGUUCGCAAGAAUGAAACUCAAAGGAAUUGACGGGGGCCCGCACAAGCGGAGGAACAUGUGGUUUAAUUCGAUGAUACGCGAGGAACCUUACCCGGGCUUGAAAUGCGGCGGACCGGCAGAGAGAUCUGCCUUCCCUUCGGGGCCGCCGUGUAGGUGCUGCACGGCCGUCGUCAGCU
rnacentral:rRNA from 1 species